rnacentral:rRNA from 1 species
CAGCAGCCGCGGUAAUACAGAGGGUGCGAGCGUUAAUCGGAUUUACUGGGCGUAAAGCGUGCGUAGGCGGCUAAUUGAGUCGGAUGUGAAAUCCCCGAGCUUAACUUGGGAAUUGCAUUCGAUACUGGUUAGCUAGAGUGUGGGAGAGGAUGGUAGAAUUCCAGGUGUAGCGGUGAAAUGCGUAGAGAUCUGGAGGAAUACCGGUGGCGAAGGCGGCCCCCUGGACAAAGACUGACGCUCAGGUGCGAAAGCGUGGGGAGCAAACAGGAUUAGAUACCCCAGUAGUCCCUGUCUCUUAUAC